GACGAACGCUGGCGGCGUGCUUAACACAUGCAAGUCGAACGGAAGGGCCCUGCUUUUGUGGGGUGCUCGAGUGGCGAACGGGUGAGUAACACGUGAGUAACCUGCCCUUGACUUUGGGAUAACUUCAGGAAACUGGGGCUAAUACCGGAUAGGAGCUCCUGCUGCAUGGUGGGGGUUGGAAAGUUUCGGCGGUUGGGGAUGGACUCGCGGCUUAUCAGCUUGUUGGUGGGGUAGUGGCUUACCAAGGCUUUGACGGGUAGCCGGCCUGAGAGGGUGACCGGCCACAUUGGGACUGAGAUACGGCCCAGACUCCUACGGGAGGCAGCAGUGGGGAAUAUUGCACAAUGGGCGGAAGCCUGAUGCAGCAACGCCGCGUGCGGGAUGACGGCCUUCGGGUUGUAAACCGCCUUCGCCUGUGACGAAGCGUGAGUGACGGUAAUGGGUAAAGAAGCACCGGCUAACUACGU
rnacentral:rRNA from 1 species